UAGAGUUUGAUCAUGGCCCAGGACGAACGCUGGCGGCGUGCCUAAUACAUGCAAGUUGAGCGCUGAAGGUUGGUACUUGUACCAACUGGAUGAGCAGCGAACGGGUGAGUAACGCGUGGGGAAUCUGCCUUUGAGCGGGGGACAACAUUUGGAAACGAAUGCUAAUACCGCAUAAAAACUUUAAACACAAGUUUUAAGUUUGAAAGAUGCAAUUGCAUCACUCAAAGAUGAUCCCGCGUUGUAUUAGCUAGUUGGUGAGGUAAAGGCUCACCAAGGCGAUGAUACAUAGCCGACCUGAGAGGGUGAUCGGCCACAUUGGGACUGAGACACGGCCCAAACUCCUACGGGAGGCAGCAGUAGGGAAUCUUCGGCAAUGGACGAAAGUCUGACCGAGCAACGCCGCGUGAGUGAAGAAGGUUUUCGGAUCGUAAAACUCUGUUGGUAGAGAAGAACGUUGGUGAGAGUGGAAAGCUCAUCAAGUGACGGUAACUACCCAGAAAGGGACGGCUAACUACGUGCCAGCAGCCGCGGUAAUACGUAGGUCCCGAGCGUUGUCCGGAUUUAUUGGGCGUAAAGCGAGCGCAGGUGGUUUAUUAAGUCUGGUGUAAAAGGCAGUGGCUCAACCAUUGUAUGCAUUGGAAACUGGUAGACUUGAGUGCAGGAGAGGAGAGUGGAAUUCCAUGUGUAGCGGUGAAAUGCGUAGAUAUAUGGAGGAACACCGGUGGCGAAAGCGGCUCUCUGGCCUGUAACUGACACUGAGGCUCGAAAGCGUGGGGAGCAAACAGGAUUAGAUACCCUGGUAGUCCACGCCGUAAC
rnacentral:rRNA from 1 species